rnacentral:rRNA from 1 species
UACGUGGGGGGUAAGCGUUGUUCGGAAUUACUGGGCGUAAAGGGCUCGUAGGCGGCCAACUAAGUCAGACGUGAAAUCCCUCAGCUUAACUGGGGAACUGCGUCUGAUACUGGAUGGCUUGGAUUUGGGAGAGGGAUGCGGAAUUCCAGGUGUAGCGGUGAAAUGCGUAGAUAUCUGGAGGAACACCGGUGGCGAAGGCGGCAUCCUGGACCAAUAUUGACGCUGAGGAGCGAAAGCCAGGGGAGCAAACGGG